ensembl:lncRNA
GGCGUUGGCCCACCCUCUCGUAGCUCACCCCGCGAGGCUGGACAGCUCCCGGAACCCCGGAACCGGGAUCUAUUUCGGGGGCUCGGCUGCGUGGCGCCCAGGACUCUCCAGGGUCUCCCAGGAUCGCUCCCUGGAUUCAAGUCGCGCUCUCUCUCUUUCGGGAACACCCGCUGAUGUCAGCCCACCAGCCAAAACCAGGGAGGAGAAGCGGGAGCCGGCCCUCCAGAGUCGGGAAAAGUCUUCAUCUCAGGAUCUCAAGCUCUUGGAUCAUGGGCACAGAUAACCUGUUGUCCUCCUCUAUGGUCAAGAGGCUGCUUUUGCAAGGAAUCCAGUGGGAGAGAGUCAAUGGCCUGCUUGACGUGAACUCCAAAGUCCUCCUGAAUACCAAUUUCUUACUGGAUCUGGAAAGGAGGAGAGAAGGAUGGAGAGUUUCUUCCAGGACCAAAUUGACUCCUCCACAAAUAGGAAGAUCCCCAGAGUGUGUGCACACACCCUCCUCCUCCUUCCUUCUCCAACCCUGGCUGGACAAUGACAUCACAUGGUGGAGGCUGUUUUUUAAGAAGAACCCAGGCCAGAUUUACAAGAAUGAUGCUCAGGCAGCGUGACUGUCAAGGACCGUGGCCAAGUGACCCAUAGCACACACCCAGCAGUGCUGAGAACACAGCUAGUCCCUUAGCACCUGGGGCUGACUCAUGGCUGCUGUAGGACCCAAUGCCAGAUGCCAGGAUUGCUUUCUCCCUCCAUUCAUUAGGAUUGUCCUGUGGAACCCUCCCCAGGAACACUUCUACCCCAUCCUGGCACACCAGGAGCCUGGAUACUGCAUAACACAGGUUACUCAUGUUUGUUUACCAAGCCUUGAAGAUGACAGGCAAUAUGCUGUUAUGCUCAAUGCAUCAUACAAAUUGUUUUAUUUAAAACUGAACUAUUAAAUUAAGUAUCAUAGCAACUCACUUUACAGACAAGGAAACUGAGGCUCAAAGGUUAAAUAAGGGUCAGGUAUGGUGGCUCACUCCUGUAAUCCCAGCAGUUUGGGAGACUGAGGUGGGAGGAGGAUUGCUUAAGCCUGGGAGUUUGAGACCAGCCUAGGCAAUAUAGGGAGACCCCAUCUCUACAAAAAAUUAUCUGGGCCUGGUGGUGUGUGCCUGUAGUCCCAGCUACUUGAGAGCCUGAGGUGGGAGGAUUGUUUGAGCCCAGAAGUUGAGGCUUCAGUGAGCCACGAUCAUGCCAUUGUACUCCAGCCUGGGCAGCAGAGCAAAACCCUGUAUUAAAAACGAACAAACAGGCCGUGCGCGGUGGCUCACGCCUGUAAUCCCAACACUUUGGGAGGGCAAGGCAGGUGGAUCACCUGAGAUCAGGAGUUGAAGACCAGCCUGGCCAACCUGGUGAAACCCCAUCUCUACUGAAAAUACAAAAAUUAGCUGGGCGUGGUGGCACAUGCCUGUAAUCCCAGCUACUUGGGAGGCUGAGGCAGGAGAAUCACUUGAACCUGGGAGGUGGAGGUUGCAGUGAGCCAAGAUAGUGCCACUGCACUCCAGACUGGGCGACAGAGCGAGACUCGGUCUCAAAAAAAAAAAAAAAAGAAGUUGGAGUAGUGUGAAGAAGAAGAGGUGAGAACAACCCCCAGACUGACCAAAGCCCGCGUGCCUGCCGUUGCAUCCUGCGUCCAGCACCUACAUCCCGCCACCAUCGCUGCCACCACCAUGCCCAAGACAAAGGCUGAAGGGGAUGCUAAAGGAGAUAAAGCCAAGGUGAAGGACAAAUCACAGAGAAGAUCUGCGAGGUUGUCUACUAAACUUGCUCCUCCAAAGCCACAGCCCAAGCCUAAAAAGGCCCCUGCAAAGAAGGGAGAGAAGGUACCCAAAGGGAAAAAGGGAAAAGGUGAUGUUGACAAGGAGGGGAAUAACCCUGCAGAAAAUGGAGAUACCAAAACAGACCAGGCACAGAGAGCUGAAGGUGCUGGAAAUGCCAAGUGAAGUGUGUGCAUUGUUGAUAACUGUGUACUUCUGGUGACUGUACAAUUUGAAAUACUAUUUUUUAUCAAGUUUUUAAAAAAUGCAGAAUUUUGUUUUACUUUUUUUUUUAAGCUAUGUUGCUAGCACACAUAACACUUCAUUGUUUUUUGGGGAAGGGGCAUAUGUCACUAAUAGAAUGUCUCCACAGCUGGAUUGAUGUGGGGAAAACACAUUUCCCUUCUGGUUUUGAAAGAUUUCCUCUUGGCUCUCAGGAGGAGGGAUUCCCUGACUUUGACACACAUGGCCACCUUGGCACAAAAGCCUUGUGCUAUGGAAAAACAAAUUCAUUUUUAUGUCCUUUUCUCCCUUUCCAUCCUUCAGCAUAGACUUAACUCCCUUAAGCCCAGACAUCUGUUGGGACCUGACCUCUAGUCAUUGGUUACCAGAGUGUCAGGCAAUCUGGACUUUCCAGUGAUGCCACUGAGAUGGCACUUGUCAAAAGAGCAGUGGUUCCAUUUCUAGAUUGUGGAUCUUCAGAUAAAUUCUGCCAUUUUCAUUUCACUUCCUGAAAGUCAGGUUUGGCCUAUGAAAAGUUGUUAAACAACAUGCUAAAUGUGAAAUAUCAAUCCUUACUCUAAACUUUCCCUGUUCAGAGCAUCAGAUGAAGACUUCAUUGGGUUUUAUAGUGGCUUUCUGAUUUUUGGUAGUCCAUUGAAGGAGAAGGGAGUUUGAAAGUUGUUGUAUACUGUUAACGAUUGUCUGCCCAUGUCCUGCCUGAAACGCCAUGAUUGUUUAUGGAAAGUAUCUUUAAUAAAACUGGAUACAGCUUAAAAAAAAA